AGUAGGUAUUUCCCAAGAUACAGUUGAAUGAAUGUACAUGUACUAUGCAAUGCCUCGGUUUGAUUACACAAAGUGUUAUGAGUGUCAUGGUUGUCUUACAGGAGAUUCCUGAAAGGGGGUCGUACUCCCACUUCCCAGCCCUCAUUUGACCAAGUCCCAUAGUCCCAGCCUAUGUUUUGCUUAAAUCUCAAUCCCAUUCCCAUUUUUUGAUUGUUUUUCUUUUUGGUUUUUGAAUCCCAUUCCCAGUGCAUAAAAUCCCAUUUUACCCCAUUUUACCCUUUCAGGACUCUCCUCACACUCAUCAUAUGAUGUUYGUUUUAUUGGAUGAUUUGACGACGAGACAAGGGAACCGGCAUGCGCAACAGAGACAUGCCACAUACUUGGCAACAGUAUUUGGAGUAGUAGCAUCUUUCGCCUCUAUAUUACCAACUUCAGUGAACGUAUGGGACCGACUUAGAAAAAGAAAAAGACUUCUGCACAUGCGCACUUUUUGAUUUCGAUAUUUUUUAAUUCUCAAGAGAAUUCAUGUUAUGCUUACAUGUCAGUAACCCUGAAUCUUUCCAUGUGGGUUCCUAAAUGUUUGCGUCAUAUCUCACCACACAUGCGCAAUGUUUCUUUUCUCAAUAUUUCUUCUCAGGCACCACACAGCGCAAUUUUUCUUCCUUUUUUUUUUUUUUUUUUUUUUUUUUUUUUUUUUUUGUUUUUGUUUUUUUUGUUUGAUCACAUUGUUUCUUUUCGAUCAUAGAGACUACGCAAACAAGCGCAAUGUUUUUUUCAUCUUAAAUAUCCGCUAUUUUUCAUUUUUAUCAUAGAGAAUCCAAGCUCUGAGUACAUGAUCAGCUAUCAGCCUUCUCAUGUGGGAUCCAAAUUGUCUGGGCCACACCCCACUUUAGAUUAUUUUUUUUGAGCUUUAAUUCUUAGGCCACUUAAUAUAUUUAUAUUCUGAUUUCAAUAAAUAAAGUACAACACUUUUCAGUUUACAAUUAUUUUUUUAUUACCUUCAUUUACACAAAGAUACACAAAAGCCUUCACAAGUAAUUUUUUUUCUUGAAUUUUUCUUCCGUUUAUCAUGAGUUCUUUUUCUGCUGAUAAAUUAAAAAAUUAAAUUUAGAUUAUUAAAUUAUUAAAUUAAAAAUUGAUAGUUAAGUUAUAAUGAGUUACAUGUUUUCAUUCGUUUUUUCCUCGGACUCGAAUGGCUAUAUAUAUGAAGGAUCAUGGAAAAAUCAUUUACGACAACAAUUGUAAUAAGCCUGAAGCAAGAUGAUGUUUUACCCCCGACCCUAUACCAUAAUAGUUUUUAAAAUUCUUUCAUAUCAAAAUUUUUGAUUCCUUAGA